GUCAACAGCCAUACCACCUGCAAUUCAGACUAAUCCAUCUGAAGCUAUGCAGGCUUGGGCUUGCCAGUACUUGGGUGGGAGACCAACUAGGAAAGCUGGGUUGUUGGGU
rnacentral:rRNA from 1 species